rnacentral:rRNA from 1 species
GGGAUAAACGCUGAAGGCAUCUAAGCGUGAAGCCCCCCUCAAGAUGAGUUCUCCCACUCUAUAAGAGAUAAGUCCCCUUAGAGACGAUGAGGUUGAUAGGGCAGAGGUGGAAGUGCAGUAAUGUACGGAGCUGACUGUUACUAAUAGGACGAUGGGUUGACCUAU